UAAAUUGCAUGCCUAAGAAAUAGGACAUGACAUUUCAAAACUCACACAUCAUUUGCUUCUUAAACUCACACAUAUAUAUCCGAGACUUUGGCAUUUAGCAAUAGUAAAUCAUCACAGACAAUCAACGACUAAACAUGUUCAUUAUCACUGUAACAAUUUACAUUACACAAAUGAUAUAUAAACACAAUUUUUAGACACAAACCCCUCUAGCCUCUAGCAUAAAAAGAGAACUGGCAAACAAUCGACAUAUUAUCAUCUUUAAAAUACAAAAGCAGUAUAUUUAUUCUAUUGAGUUUCUGGAUUUUUCAUCAACCAAUUCUAUAAUAUGGCUAAUGAUUUGUUAAAUAC
rnacentral:lncRNA from 1 species